UUCCCUAGGGAGGCAGCAGUGGGGGAUAUUGGACAAUGGGGGAAACCCUGAUCCAGCGACGCCGCGUGAGUGAAGAAGUAUUUCGGUAUGUAAAGCCCUAUCAGCAGGGAAGAAGAAAUGACGGUACCUGAGUAAGAAGCACCGGCUAAAUACGUGCCAGCAGCCGCGGUAAUACGUAUGGUGCAAGCGUUAUCCGGAUUUACUGGGUGUAAAGGGAGCGCAGGCGGCACGGCAAGCCUGAUGUGAAAGCCCGCGGCCCAACCGCGGGACUGCAUUGGGAACUACCGGGCUGGAGUGCCGGAGAG
rnacentral:rRNA from 1 species